GACGAACGCUGGCGGCGUGCUUAACACAUGCAAGUCGAACGGUGAAGGUGGAGCUUGCUUCACUGGAUCAGUGGCGAACGGGUGAGUAACACGUGAGUAACCUGCCCCUGACUCCGGGAUAAGCCUUGGAAACGAGGUCUAAUACUGGAUAUGUGACGUUCAGGCAUCUGAUGCGUCUGGAAAGAUUUAUCGGUCAGGGAGGGGCUCGCGGCCUAUCAGCUUGUUGGUGGGGUGAUGGCCUACCAAGGCGACGACGGGUAGCCGGCCGGAGAGGGCGACCGGCCACACGGGGACGGAGACACUGGCCGGACUCCUACGGGAGGCAGCAGUGGGGAAUAUUGCACAAUGGGCGCAAGCCUGAUGCAGCGACGCCGCGUGAGGGAUGAAGGCCUUCGGGUUGUAAACCUCUUUCAGCAGGGAAGAAGCGCAAGUGACGGUACCUGCAGAAGAAGCGCCGGCUAACUACGUGCCAGCAGCCGCCGUAA
rnacentral:rRNA from 1 species